rnacentral:rRNA from 1 species
CCUACGGGAGGCAGCAGUGGGGGAUAUUGCACAAUGGGGGAAACCCUGAUGCAGCGACGCAGCGUGGGCGAAGAAGUAUUUCGGGAUGUAAAGCCCUAUCAGCAGGGAAGAAGAAAUGACGGUACCUGAGUAAGCAGCACCGGCUAAAUACGUGCCAGCAGCCGCGGUAAUACGUAUGGUGGAAGCGUAAUCCGGAUUUACUGGGUGGAAAGGGGGCGCAGGCGGCACGGCAAGCCUUAUGUGAAAGCCCGCGGCCCAACCGCGGGACUGCAUUGGGAACUACCGGGCGGGAGUGCCGGAGAGGUAGGCGGAAUUCCGAGUGUAGCGGUGAAAUGCGUAGAUAUUAGGAGGAACACCAGUGGCGAAGGCGGCCUACUGGACGGUGACUGACGCUGAGGCUCGAAAGCGUGGGGAGCAAACAGGAUUAGAUACCCUAGUAGUC